rnacentral:tRNA from 1 species
GGGAAGGUGGCUCAGUGGUAGAGUGCUUGCCUUGCAUGCAUGAGGCAUUGGGUUUUUUUCCU